rnacentral:lncRNA from 1 species
GGCUGACCCCACAUUGGACACCACUGCAUCCAUGUCCAUCACACACCACAGCUGCCUUUUCUUCUGCCUGCUUAUGGGAAAGUCCCCUCCUCUCCUCCGUUUUCUUCUCUUCCUGCCCCUAUCACACUGUGCACUUCUCCCUUUCCUUACAGAACCACCAUCAACUUUAGGAGGAGGGAAAGGGGUGGCUCUGGCAGGAAAAGCCAGAAUCCCCUCUAGCCAGCAGAGAGAGAGGAAUGGCUGCAUGUUUUCUCCCCCAAUCCAAGGCACUGGGUCUUGGCUGGGUUGCAGGUUCCAAGCUGCUCUCCUGCUGUGUCGGUGAGUUCUGGUCAACCUGCAACCUCCUGAUGUGGCCACUGCAGUUCAUCGAGUCUUCAGGGACUCCCCAUGGCCUGGAGUACUUUGCCUUGCUUACACGGGAGAGGAGAAUGGAUUUAUAGAGAACAUCAUCUAAAUCCAACUUGACCAUUGUGUGGCCACACUUGCUAGAUUGCUAUAGUCUAAAUCUAGCAUUGUAGAAAGACGGGGGAGCUUGGAGCUGCACAAACUCAGGUCUGGAACUGGCUCCUUACCUUGGAAGGUGAAUGAUCCUGGCAGGACUCUUAGCCUCCCUGGGCCUCAGUUUCUUUAUCUGUUUCAUGGGAAUGAGGAUCUCUGCUGGGUGGUUGGGUGAUGUGAGGGCUGUGUGAAAACAGCUUGUCAAUACAAGCCGAAAUAGAAAUAUUUCUCCACAGAUUAUGAAGGUCAAAUGAGAGAAUAUAUUUAAAUUAAAUGGAAAAUUAAAAUGGCAAAAAAGGCAAAGCUGUAUUGAAAGUUCCGAGCUUCUGUAUGAGCAGCUUUUUGACUAUGUAAGAAUCCUGUACUCGUUCCCCCUGAAUAUAAAAAAAAAAAAAAGUUGAAGGAGGCAGAAGGGAGAGUGAUGCACGAUGGGCGAGGACUUCACCUGCUGUUGCUGGCUUUGAGGAUGGAGGAAGGAGGCCACAAACCUAGAAGCUGGAGCCCCUAGAAGCUAGAAAAGGCAGGGACCCGAUUCAUCCCUUGAGCCUCCAGAAGGGACAUAGCCCUGCCAGCCCCUUGACUUUAGCCCAGUGAGAUCCUCUUAGGACUUUUGGCAACCAGAACUAUAAGACAGAAAUGGAAGCCACUGAGUCUAUAGCUGUUUGUUGCAGCAGCAAUAGAAAACUAAUGCAGAGCCCAAGAAAUCACUGGUGAUGAGAUGGGGAAAGUGGGCUCAGGAGGUCUGGAUCUGUGAUGAGAUGGGGAAAGUGGGCUCAGGAGGUCUGGAUCUGUGAUGAGAUGGGGGAAGUGGGCUCAGGAGGUCUGGAUCUGGGGUGGGGAUCUGGA